rnacentral:lncRNA from 10 species
CUCAUUGCUGCUUCAAUCAGCUGCCUGUGUCGCAGAAGCUGAGCCGGCACACACGGUGGACGCUGGCAGAUAAAACACGAAAUUGCUAAAGGAGCCAUGACAGAUGGGAGAAAUACCUCUAAACCCAAAUCAUGAGGGUUAUCAGAGCAUGACACACCAACAGGAACCAAGCACCAAGAAUGCAGUAGCUAUAAAAUCUCAGUCCGCUCAUUGCAAGCCAGCGCAGGCAAAGGAGGUGCCAAGAAGAGAAAAGGUGAGCCCACAGUUACAGAGCUGGUGAGCUGCAGAAGGUGGAUUCCCACCUAGGAUCAUGGAUGCAGAGCCCACGCUCCUCGCUGCGAUGUUAUGCUGCCUUCGUGUCCAAGAUAAGUAAAAUAAUCUCUGUUUCAAAAUGUUGAAAAGAGUUACAAGUCUCAGAAUCAAUGUUCCCUUCCCCAUAGUCCACCAUUCCAUCAUGAUCCCUUUUGUAGUAAACCGUGUAGCAUGACUCACAGUUACAAUCAUGCCAUAGAUUCAGCAAGAUCAAAGCAUUGCAGGAAUUCUGAAGCUCCGCAGAAAUGUAAUCCCUUCCGAGAGAGAUGGCCGUAGCUGGACCAGACAUUCAAGCAAUCCUGCUGUGAAAAAAUGACAAAUGAUUACUUUGGACAUGGGGGGAAAUACCUUUAGCUCAGUCUAGGCUUCCCAAGUAUAGACAGAGUAUAGAUUAAACCUCCAAGUCUAUCCCACACUCUAUACAAGGGAAAGGCUUAUACCUUCGGCUUUUCCACUUAGACAAGAUGAAGAGCUAAGUUAAUACAGCUGGAAGUUAAGCCAUUUGUUCCAGAUGGUGCAGAUAUUUCAAACUCGGUGUUCCUAAGGCGAUGGUAACACACGGAAUUUUAUUCUGGUAGAAGCAAUAAUGUGUGUGAGAGUGUGAUGUUUACUCGUCUGGUAUAUGAACAAAAAGCACAUCUAUUUAAGUAAAUAUCUGUGUUCACAAAGCAGAAUACAGAAAUGGGGUAAUUACCUGCAUAGUCAAGCUUAAAAAAUAUGCCUUUGACUCAAAAAUCUGAUGAUUUUGAGCUCAUUUUUUGCUUUAAUAAUCUGUUUAAUUGCUUUACUUAUGGAUUUCACUUCUAUGUAGAAAAAGCCUUAAGAAACAAUUUGCUUGCAGGCACAUCUUGGAGAUAUUGCAGGUUCGUUUCUAGGUCAUUAUAAUAAAUAUUGCAAAGAAGUUAGUAACACAAUUUUUUUGAUUUUACGAGUACAUACAAAACUUAUUUUUUUACACUAUACUGUGG